CUACGAAGUAGAGUGUGCCUUCGGGAACUAAGUGACAGGUGAUGCAUGGCCGUCGUCAGCUCGUGUCGUGAGAUGUUAGGUUAAGUCCUUCAACGAGCGCAACCCUUAUAGUCUGUUGUAUUUUUCAGGCUGGACUGCCCUGGCAACAGGGAGGAAGGGGGGGAUGAGGUCAGGUCAGUAUUUCCCUUACGUCUGGGGCUACAAACACGCUACAAUGGCCAGUACAAAGGGCUGCCAAGUCGCGAGACGGAACAAAUCCCAUCAAAGCCGGUCUCAGUUCGGAUAGCAGGCUGAAACUCGCCUGCUUGAAGCUGGAAUCGCUAGUAACGGUAGGUCAGCACACUACCGUGAAUACGUUCCCGGGUCUUGUCACACCGACUUGUNCACNCCGA
rnacentral:rRNA from 1 species